rnacentral:rRNA from 1 species
CCUACGGGUGGCAGCAGUGAGGAAUAUUGGUCAAUGGGCGCAAGCCUGAUGCAGCGACGCCGCGUGCGGGAUGGAGGCCUUCGGGUUGUAAACCGCUUUUGUUCAAGGGCAAGGCACGGUCUUUGGCCGGGUUGAGUGGAUUGUUCGAAUAAGCACCGGCUAACUACGUGCCAGCAGCCGCGGUAAUACGUAGGGUGCAAGCGUUAUCCGGAUUUAUUGGGCGGAAAGGGCUCGUAGGCGGUUCGUCGCGUCCGGGGUGAAAGUCCAUCGCUGAACGGUGGAGCCGGGCCGGGUACGGGCGGGCUUGAGUGCGGUAGGGGGGAGUGGAAGUCCCGGUGUAACGGUGGAAUGUGUAGAUAUCGGGAAGAACACCAAUGGCGAAGGCAGGUCUCUGGGCCGUUACUGACGCUGAGGAGCGAAAGCGUGGGGAGCGAACAGGAUUAGAUACCCGUGUAGUC